rnacentral:rRNA from 1 species
GAUGAACGCUAGCUACAGGCUUAACACAUGCAAGUCGAGGGGUAACAAGAGGAAAGCUUGCUUUUCUUGUUGACGACCGGCGCACGGGUGAGUAACGCGUAUCCAACCUGCCUAUAACUAGGGAAUAACCUUGCGAAAGUAAGACUAAUACCCUAUGAUUUCCUUUGAUGACAUCAGAUUAGGUAUAAAGAUUUAUCGGUUAUAGAUGGGGAUGCGUCUGAUUAGCUUGUUGGCGGGGUAACGGCCCACCAAGGCAACGAUCAGUAGGGGUUCUGAGAGGAAGGUCCCCCACAUUGGAACUGAGACACGGUCCAAACGCCUACGGGAGGCAGCAGUGAGGAAUAUCGGUCAAUGGGCGGAAGCCUGAACCAGCCAAGUAGCGUGCAGGAUGACGGCCCUAUGGGUUGUAAACUGCUUUUAUACAGGGAUAAAGUUAGCCACGUGUGGUUAUUUGUAGGUACUGUAUGAAUAAGGACCGGCUAAUUCCGUGCCAGCAGCCGCCGUAA